rnacentral:misc_RNA from 1 species
AGCAGGAUCAUUCAUGAUGUUGAUGCAUUUCGACAACGUGAGUUGAUACAAAAACAACUAUUCGACGUAGAUUGCUUCGCGAGUGUGUGUUGUGUGUGUUCACGCACGCACACCCUGGCAAGCUCUGCGCUCGCAAUGACUGACCCUUGCCAUGGUGGAAGGAUUAGUGGGUCUCGAUCUUUUUUGAGAGCUGCGACAUCUCUCCAUCUGGCACAGGGCGGUUGUUUUGAGGCUUUACCCCACGCUCCUCUCUAUUGAUGAGGGCGAUACCCUCGAAACAGCCGCUAGACAACGCUCAACGAUGGAUAUCUCGGCUUGGUGAUCGAUGAAGGACGCAGCGAAGUGCGAAAAGUGUCAUGACUUGCAGAGUCUUUUUGAGCUGACAAAUCUCUGAAUGCAAAUUGCAUCUAGCGCAAGAUCUAGAUAUAUAUUGUAGAGUGUAGAUGCUCCAGCACAUCAUCACUCAUAUCAAUUUAGAGAUUCACGUCUCUGUUGGUAUCGAGUGGACCUGCGUUUGUGGCGUUAAGUGCUACGAAUCGUCAAAUCAGAAGACGACGCCGUGUCUACCCUUCACGGGGUAGAUCACUGCGCACAUCGUUGGAUUACUUCCCUCACCGGAAGUGAAAAGGCGAUUGUGAUGCGGUUAAACGUGCGAUUCCUGUCUAAACCCUCAUAAACAAUUUUAUGAGCCACCUCUACAAUAUAGGAUAACCCGCUGAACUUAAGCAUAUCAUUAAGCGGAGGACAAGAAAACAACUGUGAUUCCCUGAGUAACGGCGAGUGAACAGGGAUCAAGCCUAUGCUUGAAUCUGCGGUGGAAGGAACCGGAAACCGCGGAAUUGUAGUGCAAGGAUCUAGUCUACAUAAUCUUGGCAGUCAGAUGAAACGCGUUGGAAAACGCUACCAUGGAGGGCUAUCGUCCCGUUCCCGUCUGACGCGCCUUGAGACUUCGUUUAGAAGGUGUGGCUAGAACCCAAGAGUCGUGCAGUUUGAGAGUGCUGUACUAAACCGCAGGUGAACUUCUGCGAAGGCUAAAUAUAGCGCCAAGUCCGAUAGCGAACAAGUAGUGUGAACGAAAGAUGAAAAGCACUUUGGAAAGAGAGUGAAAAAGCCUUUGACAUCGUUGGGCGCCAAGGGUAUCGGACCCGUGAUGGAAACAUCCUCUGAACAUUGUUUAGAGGCGUCAGUGUCCACUUUUUGGGUCUGCUCUCAGGAAGUCGCCUUUUGACAUCUUCGGAAGUUAUUAGGGGCCCUUGAAGUAGCUGUACUUGAGAGGUGGGUAAUCGUCUUCGUAUUCUGAAUCACUGGGCUGGUGACCGUUUGCCGAGCAUAAUCUCUCACGGGAGGUUGUCUUUGUAAAUGGGAGAUAAAUAGAAUCAGUCUGCGGUUUAUAAUAUCAGGAGCGAAUCACUGGCACACCAUCUUCGGAUGGUAACACGGUCUUUUACCAACCGUCUUGAAACACGGACCAAGGAGUCUACCGAAUGUGCGAGCGUUUGAGUGAUUGAAACUCUACGACGCGCAAUGAAAGUGAGGACCUGUGAAGAGACUGGUUCAACACCCUCACGGGUGACGGUCUAUCUCCAACAGGGCUCGGUCCUGAUCGUACGUGAAACGGAUCUGAAGCAAAGCACAUUCGCUGGGACCCGAAAGAUAGCGAGCUUUUCCUGGGCCGAAGGAAGCCAGGGGAAACCUUGGUGGACGUUCGAACGCAGUGCUGACGUGCAAAUCGCUUGUCAGAUCUGGGUAAAGGGGCGAAAGACUCAUCGAGCUAUCUAGUAGCUGGUUCCCUC